CAAGCAUAUUGCAAGUGGUAUUGCAAAGCACGAUUACCAGUUUGCAUAUAGUCACUGUAACGACAGGAUGGACAACACCACCAAAAAAAUGCUCCAAAUUUCAUUGGUUAUCUGCUUAAUGAUGACGAUGAUCGACGCUGGUCCUGAACCUGAUCCCGAGCCGAUAGAGGUGCUCAAGGAGAGAUCCCUACAAGUGCCAUGCGAGGGGGACUGCCACGUCUAUGAAAGAAACUCAAUACGAAUUGAUGAUGGUGACGAUCGUGUGAUUAGACUGUGAUCGCAAAGAACCUACGUGGGCUACUGAAGCAAGGUUGCUGUAAUUCAAGAUUUUUUUUUUUUACAUACACAAGAUUUUAGUAUUGUAAUCAUACUUAGGGUUUGAUUAUAUUUACAGUCAUUGUAUUGCCUGUUUUCAGUUAUUAAAACUUGUUAAAGAUAAUAUACGGUUGCACAAUGGUUGUAUUCUUGCAAUGGUUGUAUUCUCCAGAUUAGUAAGUGGCACAGUGAUUUUCCUACGAACCGUACUUCACUGACAAGAGUUUCUGAGUUAACAUAGACGGUUUUGGCAGAAGAAUCCAACCAGAAAUUUUUGGAUCACCCCUUGACCCUAGUUCAGUUAGAUAGUUUCAUUUAUAUUAAUACUAGCAGCAGUAUUGAUGGUAGUAGUGACUGGAGUAGUGAUAAUAUGAAUCAUCGUAAUGGUAGAUGUAGUAAUAGUAUGAGAUGUAAAGGGCAAACUACUGCGAAAAAAUGACUACGGUGCUACAGACAAACUAUCUUGCCACUGGACGACCUAUUAAACAGCCCUGCGUUCCGUUGGGUACUUCGUACCGCUGCGAAGCCUGUUCCGCGAUACUGUAUUUUUAUGUGGCGCUCAAACGCUACGGUCCCGAGAGGUGGUUCGCCUAGCAGACGACGCUACAUUGUUUACAAACACAGCAAAUGUAGACUGCCAAGGUAUAAUUUUCGGGAUGAAUUCUGCCAUAUGAACUUUAAUAUCAAAUGAAACCUAGUGCAUACUUCUUGACUGGUAUUUGACUACAUAUUCAGCUAAGCAAAGGAUGUUAAAUGUGAAAAAAAAAAAAAAAAAAAACAUGAGAGUAUGAUUCCUGACUCGUACGCCUAGCUGCUGGACUAUUAAUGGAAAAUAUUAUGUAAUGCUAUAAAGAGAAGUGUUAUAAAUACUAGCAUGAAUAAAAGCCAUAGUAAAAUGUA